rnacentral:lncRNA from 1 species
CCCAUAGGUUCCAUGACAGUAUGAAAUGUUGGAGCCAUAACCCCAUAGGUUCCAUAGACAGUAUGAAAUGUUGGAGCCAUAACCCCAUAGGUUCCAUAGACAGUAUGACAUGUUGGAGCCAUAACCCCAUAGGUUCCAUAGACAGUAUGAAAUGUUUGAGCCAUAACCCCAUAGGUUCCAUAGACAGUAUGAAAUGUUUGAGCCAUAACCCCAUAGGUUCCAUAGACAGUAUGAAAUGUUGGAGCCAUACACCCAUAGGUUUCCAUAGACAGUAUAGAAUGUUUGAGCCAUGACCCCCAUAGGAUCCAUAGACAGUAUGAAACUGUUGGAGCCAUAACCCCAUAGGUUCCAUAGACGUAUGAAAUGUUUGAGCCAUAAACCCAUAGGUUCCAUAGACAGUAUGAAAUGUUUGAGCAAGUGCAGGCCCGGCAAAAAUAUGACAUCUAAUGACUUGACGCUCGUGGUCAGCAAGAGCAUUGUUAUUACAUUGUAAUUACCUGAUUGAAAAUGUCAUUACAAUGUGCGCCUGUUAGUGCGUUCGGGAUUAAGAUGGCCAUGAGAAAUACAAGAAAACGACACGAACGCGACCAAGACAACACAACGACACCCAACGACAUCACACCAACGACCAACGACCAACGCAAACCAACGAUCAACGAUCCACAAAGACCCACGACCCACGACCAACGACCAACCACCAUACAGAAUCAGACGAGGUCAGAUAACAAGAGGUUCAGAGUAAUGGCUGUUGUAGUAUCCCGCUAUAUCAUCUCGUAGAUAUUAUAUAUAAUAUUCUAUAACCCCAUAGGUCCAUAGGAUAUAUAUAUAUAUAUAUAUAUAUAUAUAUAUAUCAGACUUUAUAUAGUUCUAGUAUCUACCUCUAUAUCAUGGUAUCUAUAUAUAUAUUAGACUUUAUAUAGUUCUAGUAUCUACCUCUAUAUCAUGGUAUCUAUAUAUAUAUUAGACUUUAUAUAGUUCUAGUGUCUAUCUUUAUAUCUUGUAUCUCUAUACAGUUGAAGUUUACAUACACCUUAGCCAAAUACAUUUAAACUCAGUUGUUCACAAUUCCUGACAUUUAAUCCUUGUGAAAAUUCCCUUUCUUAGGUCAGUUAGGAUCACCACUUUAUUUUAAGAAUGUGAAAUGUCAGAAUAAUAAUAAAGAGAAUCAUUUCUUUCAUCACAUUCCCAGCGAGUCAGAAGUUCACAUACACUCAAUUAGUUAAUUAGUUAAUUACACUCAAUACACUCAACRUUUAAAUGGUUUAACUUGGGUCAAAUGUUUCGGGUAGCCUUCCACAAGCUUCCCACAAUAAGUUGGGUGAAUUUUGGCCCAUUCCUCCUGACAGAGUUGGUGUAACUGAGUCAGAUUUAUAGGCCUUCUCUAGGCGUUUCUCUUGAUUUUUUUGUUGUUAUUCUGUCUCUCACUGUUCAAAAAAACCUACCAUUAAAAUUAUAUAAAUGUGUGAGUGGACUCCAGAUUAGCUGACUCCUGACUCCAAUUAGCUUUCGGAGAAGUCAUUAGCCCAGGGGGUUCACAUACUUCAUCAGUCCAUGGUAAGACAAAUUGUCUAUAACACUUGUAUUUUCAUCAACCAAAUAUAUACUGUAUUUAUAUAGUAAUAUAUACUGUAUUUAUAUCGUAAUAUAUACUGUAUUUAUAUAGUAAUAUAUACUGUAUUUGGUCCUAGCAGGGCCCACCUGUCACGGGACUCCUCUUUGAUGUCUGACGGUUGCCAGGUGAUGAAGGGCGUUGCCAGGUGAUGAAGGGCGUUGCCAGGUGAUGAAGGGCGUUGCCAAGUGAUGAAGGGCGUUGCCAUGGCAAAGUUGACCACAUGCUGUCUGGUGCCAGAGCCCAGCUCUAAGGCAAACAGUUCCCUGUGAGACUGCUCCUCCAACACAUCACACAACACUCAACACAACUCCUUCUGGUUCCUGUCUGCUAGAGGAGAGAUUAGCAUGGUCUGGAGGGGGGAGAGAGAGAGAGACAGAUAGAGGGGGGGAGAGAGAGAGAGAGACAGAUAGAGGGGGGAAGAUAGAGAGAAAGUCUAUGCGUUAUAACCUAUCAACCACACAGUCCAAUCUGUGCUACACAAGCAAGAGAGGAAGGGAAAGAGAACCUACAACAAUUACAGACUAAUGUAUAUCAUGAUUAUAAAACUGUUGUUAUGGUGUAAAUAGUACUGUUUUACACUCACCUUUUCUUGAGCUGCUCUGAAGAGGCUAAGGACAUGACAUAUUGGCUGGGACUGGGAGGUGGCUGAUGGGUAAUAGCCUAUAGGGCAGAUGGGUCAUGUGAUUCUUGGUUAAGAGGAUUCUUAAAGCACUAGUGAACAACACUCCUCUUCCUGAAUGGGAGAUCUUUCUAGACAGAAGGACGUAACUUUGAGCACUCAGGGAGGGAGGGAGAGAGAGAAACCUAUGGCCUAUGACUUCUUAUGGCUGGGGGCAGUAUUGAGUAACUUGGAUGAAUAAGGUGCCCAGAGUAAACUGCCUGCUCCUCAGUCCCAGGUACUAAUACYUUUCUAAAACUGUUUGAAUGAUGUCUGUGAGAAUAACAUAACUCAUAUGGCAGGCAAAAACCUGAGAAAAAUUCCAACCAGGAAGUGAGAAAUCUGAGGUUGGUUGAUUUUCAACUCAUUCCCUAUUGAAGAUACAGUGGGAUAUUGGUCAUGUUGCAUUUCCRAAGGCUUCCACUAGAUGUCAGCUGUCUUUAGAAUCUUGUUUGAGGCUUCUACUGUAAAGGAGGGGCUCAUAAGGGCUCUUUGAGUCAGUGGUCUGGCAGAGUGCCAUGAGCUGGUCACACGCAUUCACAUGAGAGGUAGCUCACACUCCAUUGCUUUUCGACAGACAAAGGAAUUAUCC